AUACGGAGGAUCCGAGCGUUAUCCGGAUUUAUUGGGUUUAAAGGGUGCGCAGGCGGCCAUUUAAGUCAGCGGUUAAAUCGUGGGGCUCAACCCCAUUCUGCCGUUGAUACUGGGUGGCUUGAUUGCGGUCGAGGUUGGCGGAAUUCGUUGUGUAGCGGUGAAAUGCAUAGAUAUGACGAAGAACUCCGAUCGCGAAGGCAGCUCACCGGGCCGGAACUGACACUGAUGCUCGAAAGUGCGGGUAUCAAACAGGAUUAGAUACCCUGGUAGUCCGCACAGUAAACGAUGAAUACUCGCUGUUUGCGAUACACGGUAAGCGGCCAAGCGAAAGCGUUAAGUAUUCCACCUGGGGAGUACGCCGGCAACGGUGAAACUCAAAUGAAUUGACGGGG
rnacentral:rRNA from 1 species